rnacentral:rRNA from 1 species
CCUACGGGCGGCAGCAGUGGGGGAUAUUGCACAAUGGGGGGAACCCUGAUGCAGCGACGCCGCGUGGGUGAAGAAGCGCCUCGGCGCGUAAAGCCCUGUCAGCAGGGAAGAAAAUGACGGUAACUGAAGAAGAAGCCCCGGCUAACUACGUGCCAGCAGCCGCGGUAAUACGUAGGGGGCAAGCGUUAGCCGGAUUUACUGGGUGGAAAGGGGGCGCAGACGGCGAUGCAAGCCAGGAGUGAAAGCCCGGGGCCCAACCCCGGGUCUGCUCUUGGAACUGCGUGGCUGGAGUGCAGGAGGGGCGAGCGGAAUUCCUGGUGUAGCGGUGAAAUGCGUAGAUAUCAGGAGGAACACCGGUGGCGAAGGCGGCCUGCUGGACUGCAACUGACGUUGAGGCCCGAAAGCGUGGGGAGCAAACAGGAUUAGAUACCCUAGUAGUC